GAACGUAUGGCUUAGUGGUCAGAGCGCUUGGACAAUUCCAAGAGGCGUGAGUUCACAUCCCACUAAGUUUU
rnacentral:tRNA from 1 species